UCGGGAAUUUUGGGCAAUGGGCGAAAGCCUGACCCAGCAACGCCGCGUGAGGGAUGAAGUAUUUCGGUAUGUAAACCUCGAAAGAAUGGGAAGAAUAAAUGACGGUACCAUUUAUAAGCUCCGGCUAACUACGUGCCAGCAGCCGCGGUAAUACGUAGGGAGCAAGCGUUGUUCGGAUUUACUGGGCGUAAAGGGCGCGUAGGCGGCGCGGUAAGUCACUUGUGAAAUCUCUGAGCUUAACUCAGAACGGCCAAGUGAUACUGCUGGGCUAGAGUGCGGAAGAGGCAACCGGAAUUCUUGGUGUAGCGGUGAAAUGCGUAGAUAUCAAGAGGAACACCAGAGGCGAAGGCG
rnacentral:rRNA from 1 species